GUCGUAACAAGGUUUCCGUAGGUGAACCUGCGGAAGGAUCAUUAAUAUUUUAUCAAGUUACACGAUUAUGUUUAACAACACAACCAACCAACUUAAUUAUGUCAACAACAACCAAAAUCAAAACUUUCAACAACGGAUCUCUUGGUUCUCGCAUCGAUGAAGAACGCAGCGAAAUGCGAUAAGUAAUAUGAAUUGCAGAUUUUCGUGAAUCAUCGAAUCUUUGAACGCACAUUGCACCUUGUGGUAUUCCACAAGGUAUGCCUGUUUGAGCGUCAUUUCUCCCUCAACCCCCCGGGUUGGCGUUGAAUGGCACGAGCUCUUAGUCAGUCCAUUCGAAAUGUAUUUUCUGUGUUGUUAUUUUCUAAUUUAGUAGUGACAACAACUAAAAACACAUUUUCCUCAAAUCAGGUAGGACUACCCGCUGAACUUAAGCAUAUCAAUAA
rnacentral:rRNA from 1 species